rnacentral:rRNA from 1 species
AUUGAACGCUGGCGGCAUGCCUAACACAUGCAAGUCGAACGGGGCAGCAAUGCCUAGCGGCGGACGGGUGAGUAACACGUGGGCAACCUGCCUCAUAGAGGGGAAUAGCCUUCCGAAAGGGAGAUUAAUACCGCAUAAGAUUGUAGUACCGCAUGAUACAGCAAUUAAAGGAGCAAUCCGCUAUGAGAUGGGCCCGCGGCGCAUUAGCUAGUUGGUGAGGUAACGGCUCACCAAGGCGACGAUGCGUAGCCGACCUGAGAGGGUGAUCGGCCACAUUGGGACUGAGACACGGCCCAGACUCCUACGGGAGGCAGCAGUGGGGAAUAUUGCACAAUGGGGGAAACCCUGAUGCAGCAACGCCGCGUGAGUGAUGACGGCCUUCGGGUUGUAAAGCUCUGUCUUCAGGGACGAUAAUGACGGUACCUGAGGAGGAAGCCACGGCUAACUACGUGCCAGCCGCCGCCGUAAUAC